ensembl:lncRNA
CUCAUAGAUAUGAAUGAGUAGAUAGGACACGCCCCUUUGAGCUGCGGCUACAGCGAGGCUAAGCUAGUGGGGGCAAAGUUUCAGUGCAUUCUGUUGAUGUAGAUGGUGUGAAAACGGAAACAAGUAUGCCGGCUCACUGUGCUGCAUACAAUUACACACUACGUCGUACGAUUGAGACAAGGAAACAUGGAAUGACUUUUCAUAGGUUUCCCAGAGACUAUGGGUUGAGGAGGAAGUGGAAGUUUGUCGGCUUAGACCUGGUGUCAUUCCAUCAGUGUUAAACUUCCCGGCUCAUCUUGGAAGAGUACGUGCCAGAAAGACCACGACCAAGCAGCCUUGAGAUCUUAGGCAGCAUCUCCCUGAGGUGGGUGUCGACGGUGUUCACGGCCAGGUCUGUGGUAAUCCCGUCAAAAAACAAAACAGAAAAAACAUCUAGAUUAUAAAUCAACAUGUAACCAAAGCACUCUGUGUAUAACGCCAUAGUAUAGAAUGUAGUUCAGAAAAUGUCAAAGUAUAGUAUGCUUUACUCAAGAAUAACAUAGUAUGGCCUGUAGUUCAUAGUACAGCAUGUUGGCAAGAAAACAAAACAAAACAUAGAUUAUUAUGUGGUUCAAAAAGCGCAAAAUGAUAGGAUGUUGCCUAAAAUUGUCAUGUAUGAUAUGUGGUUCAAAAAAUGUCAUAGUGCAGUAUAUUGUCAAAAAAGUAUGUAAUUCAAGAAGACAGUAUAAUAUGUCGUCUAAAAAAUGCCAUAGAAUAUUUCAUUGCACAAGUAAAAGUAUAGUAACUUUUAAAACUGUUCGAAUUCUUAUAUGUUGCUAAAAAAAACAAAAAAAAACUAAAACAAAAAAAACCCGUCAGUAAUAUGUCAAUUAAAAAAGCCUAUAGUAUAGCAUGUCGCUCUAAAAACGUCACAGUAUAGCCUUUAGUCCACAGCUGUCAGUAGGUGAGGAGCAACACAAAAACAGUUCAAACGCUGGUUUCCAGAGGGUUAGACGAGUAUUUAUUUGAAAGUGUAAGUUUACAACAACACAACAUGUGAGGGGGUUAAAAACAAAUGGGUGUUAGUAAAAUAAAAAUAAAUAAACAGAACUAAAAGUGAACUUCACGUUGACAUUGAUGGGCAUUCCAACCAGGAACAAAGUAAAAGAUAAUCAAUAUGAAAAACAACUCUUCCUGUUCACCUCUUAAAACCCAAAAACACACCGCAGUAGCAUCCUAAACUAAAACUACCAAUGUGUUCCCUGUUUUCCUUUGUGAACAAUUCAAAUGUCCCUCUCUAUCUCCCCACACAUCCACCAACCACUGGAACACAUCUCCAAAGUUCUGCCGGGCCAGCUCAGCUUCCCCUCAGAAGAAGUGACGCCACCUGCCAGAUGAAGGAGCCUUUUGAGAGGCAGCUGGCAUCGUGAUUGGACUGUACUUUGGUCUGUUCCAAUCCAGCUUCAGCUCCAGAGACGGCAGGCGGGACGAGUCAACGGAGGCCAGGUGGACGAAGACCAAAGAACUACAGACUCUUCACAACCUGCUCAAACACUUGGUACAGGACCUCACCACACGGGUCAAGAAGGUUUCCUUCUCAUUUCUACUCUGAAGCUCACCUUCUCCUGCUCAAACUGCUGACAAAUGUUUCUGCUGCUCUAAAGUCUGAUCUCCAGAACUUCCUAAAAACUCUCAAAGUCUAUUCUGCUGCAGGUUGCUUUGUAGAACUGUUGCAGAAAACCUCACUAAACCACAUGGAGGGGCCUCAAGAUAGUCGUCCAAAUGAAACCAUACAAAAACCAAACUAGCACAACCCAAACGCUAAAGUCUCCUGCAGUCUACCAGAGAACCUCCGAGAACAGAGAAUCAGAACAGGAACUCUUACCUUCUGGACAACCAACGUUGGUUCAUUACAAGAAUACAGAAUGUGUCUGACCAAAAACCUCUGAAGACUCACUACAGCCAAGAUAAAGACACAACUCAGCUGCACCAAAUCCACUAAUCACUGCACACAUUAGCACCAUGUGCCAACUGUGGCUAAAGAACCACAUUUACCAAGACAACUAUCCAGUAGAAAGCCCUAAAACACACCAAGAAACACAUUAAAGACGAUUUUACUGCUGGAAGCUGCAAGCCAACGCCUAAAGAACAAACUAAAGCAAGAGUCAAACCCAGUUCACUGGUGAAGAGAAGCAGAGGAAAUGUUUGUCUACAGCUAAAUAAAGCAGGAAGACACUGAGCUGCUCAGGUGUUCCUGAUAACACCAAGCUGCUCAGGUGUUCCUGAUAACACCAAGCAGCCACCUGGACAGCCAAUAGGAACACAGCUUACUGGAAGUCCAGAGGGUUGGGUUAGUGAAGGAAAUUUAGUUUAAAGUUGAGGCAGAAAGUUAACAAAGAAAGUUGAAAACCACCUUCUGAUACCUGAAAUCUCUGAGUUUUCACACAAAGAACACCUGAACAUGUCAAACUGGUUCCAUAGUAGAAC